rnacentral:lncRNA from 1 species
CUAUCUCAGGGUUUGUAUGCAAAGAGCACCUGAUCGAGAUUUUGUUCCCAUUGAUCCAGAUAUCGAACGCACAUUUCAUCACAGGCAAAGAGAAGCAAGAGCAACACAACAAAUUCAAAAAGACCAAAAACAGCAAUAACAGAUGACUAAUGAGCAAAAUCAUCCGGUAAUUCAACUCAACGAAGGCGCGGGGGUUGAAGAUGAAGGGAAUAUGGUACUUGGGGACUUCAUGCACCGUUGGUGGUCCAGAGUCAAUCUAGCAUUGUGUAUCCUCCAUUUGGGCAACCGAACUUCCAGCUAAAAACAAAUGUAAUUCAACUAUUUCAGAAUAGGCAUCAAUUCCACGGGAUGGCUAAUGAGAAUCCACAUACACACAUAUCCCGAUUUCUAGAUAUGUGCCAACACUUUAGGUAUCAGGGUAUCUCAGACGAUGCUAUAAGACUGCGAAUGUUUCCACCCACAUUGCGGGAUAAAGCACUUGAAUUGCUGGAUUCACUUCCCGUCGCAAGUAUCACCACUUGGAAUGAGCUAGCCCACGAAUUCUGCACCAAGUUCUUCUUGCCAACUAAGGUAGCAAAAAUGCGACAUGACAUAUCUAUAUUCAACCAAGGCGAGUCUGAAUCAUUUGAAGAGGCCUGGAAUCGCUUCAAAAAUAUGUUAAGGAAGUGUCCUCAGCAUGG